GUUUUUCCUGAAAGUAAACAAAAUUUUUGGUAAGUAACUUUUCAUCAUGUUAAUCUUUACUCUGAACUGCUCAAUAUAUGUUUUUAUGAUGGUAUCCGUCGUUAUCUUAGAUACCUGUGUUUUGGAUGAGGGAUAUGAAAAUGGGACCGAAAAAUACACUUUUUACUUGCCGGUAGUUAGUUUUGGUCAGUUUUACUUUAGGUUCCUAAUUGUACAUGAGCACUUGUAAGCGUCUGAUUGAAGAUGAAUGAAAUACCAAAAAGUGAAACUACGCCUGACAAUUAUUGAACAGUUGUUUUUGUAGAUAAGUAUUAGUGACCGAGUUGGAGAUACAGUUGCAGGUUGCGAUAGUGAAGUACAUAAUUCUGUUUGUUUUCUAAAGUGGUAGAAAUACAAUGGGGGUUUGAUGUGGAAAGAUGUCUGUACGAAGUUUAUAUAACGGGUUAGAAUGUGGACUUACAUCCACCAGAAGGUAACUAUAUUUCUUGUUUGUGGCUUUUCUAUAGGCAUCCAUAAAAUAAUGCGUUUCACCGGGAAACAUUUGUUUGGCUAAUGCUUGAAUUUGUAAUUUAUCUCUCUGAUUGUUAAACAACACAAAAUAAUGACUGUUUAGACUAAUAGUUCGAAAAUAUUUUCCUCCUGUAAAUAAAUUUUGCACUACGAAAAAGACUGAAAAAUUAUGGUGAUGACUAUAAAUGGUGAAUAAGUUGACAAUAUCUACACUUUGUGAAGCUUUUUGUGCUAAAUCAUCAAUCACUAAUAUUUUGAAGUCAGUUUCCAUAGUCCACAUGUCCAUAUCGUCUUUAGUUGGUAAACCUUCAAAAAAUUCAAUAUUUUCCACAUGUUCUUUCAUAUCAUCAAAUAAGGAU